AUACGGAGGAUCCGAGCGUUAUCCGGAUUUAUUGGGUUUAAAGGGAGCGUAGGUGGGAUAUUAAGUCAGCUGUGAAAGUUUGGGGCUCAACCUUAAAAUUGCAGUUGAUACUGGUUUCCUUGAGUACGGUACAGGUGGGCGGAAUUCGUGGUGUAGCGGUGAAAUGCUUAGAUAUCACGAAGAACUCCGAUCGCGAAGGCAGCUCACCGGGCCGGAACUGACACUGAUGCUCGAAAGUGCGGGUAUCAAACAGGAUUAGAUACCCUGGUAGUCCGCACAGUAAACGAUGAAUACUCGCUGUUUGCGAUACACUGUAAGCGGCCAAGCGAAAGCGUUAAGUAUUCCACCUGGGGAGUACGCCGGCAACGGUGAAACUCAAAUGAAUCGGCGGGG
rnacentral:rRNA from 1 species